CUCAUGAGGCAAGAGCACUUCACAAGGGCUAUUAUAGCAAAGAAAUCGCUGGGUCUGCAAUUCUGGAUCAAAGGACACAGAAAAGAUGAUGGAGUUAGAGCUUCCGUACAGCAGAGUCUUAGCUGCUGGUCACACUUUAACCACACGCCAAUUGUAGGAGUGGUGCGGCGCCAUCCUGUACCACAAAUCAUGCGAAGAAUGAUGGGUGGUGUAAUCCUAUGCUAGCUAGAGUGCUAGACUGAUUUCAGAAACUCUUGGAGCUCAUCUUUUGGCCUGAAACACCAAGAACUAACCUGCCACAGCAGUGACUACUGAUUAAUACAAUGGAGUUCAUUUGAUCCAUCUGAUAAAAUACCUAUUGGGGAAUAAGCGUGAAAAGUAAUCACCCACUCUUUCCGGAGUGGAAUUCAGGUAUGCCUGCUCAUCUAUUUAUUUGACUGUUGUUAUAGAUAGAUUCAUCCGGGUCUGAAAUGUUAAUGGAGUUGUUUCAUUCCUCACACAAUCCCUUUCAAUUGGAUCAGUUCUCCUUUUUGAAUUACUCUAUAUUCCAUACAUAUAUGUUUAUUAUGUUCAUCGAGACUGCAAGACAUUUAUUUUGUUGAUAUUACCUUCAAGGGAACAUGGUACCUACGAUGCAGGAGGACUAUUGGAAAUCAGUUUUAAAUUUAAUCAAGUGUAUACUUCUCUUUUGUCUCUUCCGCAGCCAUGAUGUUAAGAAGUUCAGUGUAGGCAGGAAAAAAAAUCUUGAACAAGUACUCUGAUGAUGGCAAGAAGCAUAAUGUUAAAUGAACUGGGUAAUGUUGAGGUUGAUGAUAGCAUGCUUGUGUAAGUUUUUACAAGCUGUACAUUAUAUGGAUGAGAUCAUGAAUGUGGUAUGAAAAAAUGUCUGUCCAGUGUACAAAGCCAUGAAACUGGAUUCAGAAAUAAGAAAUAGUCGCUUCGACGACAGCGGUGGCGGGCACCGUGGCAUGGACGACGGUGAUCCCCUCGGCGGCGGCGAUCUGCAGCAGGUCAUGCUGGCUCUGCACCAGGCUCGCCGGCAUGAAUUGACCCCCUUCCACCGCCCUACGCCCCACCUGCUCGGCGUUCACCUCCGCUGGCGCCUACUGGCACACGAACUUCACCAGAAUUCACUUGCAGGAGAUUAAUGUGUUUGGGGAACUAUAUAUUGAAAAAGUGUGUAUUUUUGCAAGAGAAUAUAUAAUUGAUGUAACAUAUAUGAAAGAUGGUCUGAUAUUUGGAUUAAAGAGGCAUACUGAUUCAUCUUUAAAAAAAGGCAUACUGGUUCACAAAGAAUAAUAUUUCUAAUUUUCUGGAUGUUUGAUACAAUGUACAUUUGUGUUAGACGUGCGUUGCACAUGCAUGCUUACUAUAGAUUAUCCUAUACAUUUCCUUUAUUAACACAAAUGUCAAUUCUAUAAUCUGUUAGGCAUUACAUCUCUGUUUUGCGCAGGAAACUUCAGAAAUUAGGCUUUUCUUUGUAAAUGUCUUCACGACACUGGGUUGGCUUCUGUUCCGGUGGUCACAGAAUACUCAUGGGAUUUCAUUUGAAUGUUUAUUCUUCAGAUUAUGCUGAACUAAAUAUGAGCUCAGUGUGGUGUUUGGUUUGAAUGGUGAAUUUUGUGCGGUGUUUCUGCAGGAGUUUUUUAAUCUAAAGCAAGGGUGAGCGCCAAGGAAGGAGGCGCCGCCACGGGCGACGGUGGCGGGGUUGGCC